GACGAACGCUGGCGGCGUGCUUAACACAUGCAAGUCGAACGGAAAGGCCCCUUUGGGGGUACUCGAGUGGCGAACGGGUGAGUAACACGUGAGUAACCUGCCCUUCACUUCGGGAUAACUUCAGGAAACUGGGGCUAAUACCGGAUAGGAAUCCUUGCUGCAUGGUGGGGGUUGGAAAGCUUCGGCGGUUUUGGAUGGACUCGCGGCUUAUCAGCUUGCUUGUGGGGUAGUGGCUUACCUAGGCUUUGACGGGUAGCCGGCCUGAGGGGGCGACCGGCCACAUUGGGACUGAGAUACGGCCCAGACUCCUACGGGAAGCAGCAGUGGGGAAUAUUGCACAAUGGGCGGAAGCCUGAUGCAGCAACGCCGCGUGCGGGAUGACGGCCUUCGGGUUGUAAACCGCUUUCAGCAGGGGCGAAGCUUGUGGUGACGGUACCUGCAGAAGAAGCACCGGCUAACUACGUG
rnacentral:rRNA from 1 species